UCCAAGCCUUCUCCUCUCCAGGCUGCACAGUCCCGACUCUCUCAGCCUGUGCUCAGAGCAGAGCUGCUGCAGCCCUCUCAGCAUCUUGGUGGCCUCUUCUAGACUGGCUCCCACAGCUCCUGCUUGUGCUGGGGGCUGCAGAGCUGUGCACAGGACUGCAGCAGCCACCAGGACAUUGUGGUGACUGCAAGCCUGCCACUUACCCAGACUAAGUGAUCAUGGGCGGCUCUUGAGAUUGGAUGGAAGCUACCAGCAGCACCAGAAAAUUCUUGGCAGAGGCACAGCCCCCAGGUUCGUAACUCACUCUCCGCCUAAAGGAGACAGCCUGGCAGCGGCUCCGUGCUAGGCACCAGCAGGCUCCCCACCUUUUCCUCGGGGGAGCAAACGCUUCCCUGUCCCCUCUGCUCCUGUCUCCUGAACAGACCGAGCAGUAAACGAGUAACUAAACACUCAGUCUGCAGCUGUCUUUGCACUGAUGGGAUCUGAGGCACAGCUGUGAAG